rnacentral:RNase_P_RNA from 1 species
CCGGAAAGCCGGACGGCCGCUGCCCGCAAGGGGAGAGGAAAGUCCGGGCUUCACGGAAACAGGAUGCCGGGUAACACCCGGGCGGGGCAACCCGACGGAAAGUGCAACAGAAAACAAACCGCCCGCUUUCGUUUGCGGUGCAAACUUCAGCGCGGCUUGCCGCGACGAAGCCCGAAAGGGCGAAGGCGGGUAAGGGCGAAACGGUGCGGUAAGAGCGCACCGCGGACGUGGUAACACGGACGGCAUGGCAAACCCCAUCCGAAGCAAGACCAAAUAGGGGCCGCAUAUGCACAUUGUUUCCUGUGCCGCGGUCCGGGUAGGUUGCUAGAGGUUAUUGGCAACAAUGAUCGUAGAGGAAUGGUCGUCGGUGCCGCAAGGCAUUACAAAACCCGGCUUACAGGCUUUCCGGCCAA